GACGAACCGUGCGAACGUUAUUCGGAAUCACUGGGCUUAAAGCGCGUGUAGGCGGGACGGCACGUCGGUCGCUGAAAGCCCCCGGCUCAACCGGGGAACGGGCGCCGAGACGACCGCCCUGGAGGGACGUAGGGGGACCUGGAACUUCCGGUGGAGCGGUGAAAUGCGUUGAUAUUCACAGGAACUCCGGUGGCGAAGGCGAGGUGCUGGACCCCUUCUGACGCUGAGGCGCGAAAGCCAGGGGAGCGAACGGG
rnacentral:rRNA from 1 species